rnacentral:lncRNA from 1 species
UAGAAGAUAGAGCAGUCUCAUGUUGUUAUAAUUGAGGUUGUUAUAAUCUAUCAUACACUCUGUCUCACGCACUAAACGACGUUGAUCAAAUAAUAAAAUUUGCAUUGAAUUGAAGUGGGAAAACAAAUGUACAGGAUGCAACACAUUAUCAAACUUUUGAUCCUGAUUGUCGCUUGCUGGAGUCGUAGUCUGAUUAGAACCGACCGUGCAUCAUCUCUUGCAUUCUUGCUGCCACCGGUAGCCGCCUUCAACUGCCAGAGUUGCUAUAGCUCAAUAUUUCCUUGGCAUAUCACAUGAGUACCUGCUGCAAAUAUCAUGUUACUAUUGUCGAAGUUAAUAUUAUGCAAUAAACUGGUUGUCUAUAUUAUUUAGUUUAUCAUUGUCUGAUUGAGAAUGACCUAAGGGUUUAAAGUUUAACAGGAAUAUUCCCAGUCUAGCAGAUUUGGAAUGGUAUGGUGUCGGUGCAGUGGUGCCGGGAUGAAGGUGCGGUCGUUGCAGUCCUGGGCAGCGCUAAAUGUUGAGUGGAUUGCUUCGUAGAUUUCUUUCGCAACAGGUAUCACUUGCUUUACAGAUAUAUUGUACCACCUAUUUGUUGUAUCCUUCAUCUAUAGCAAUGCAGAUAUAGUUCGUGACAUAGUUACUCUCCUAUUAUAGGCUAGAGUCAAAAAGGUCUUGUAUGAGGGUCUCAUUCAAAUUCAGUGGCUUUAAACAACAUGAUUCACAGGUUAGUAAAUUUCUUGUUUUCUGGAAGACAUGGAUGUUUUUAGCAUGGUUGGCAAUGUGUUAAGCCACUUAAUCCUACUUCCAUUUUCACUUUCAGAAUCAAUUAGCCUAAGUCUACUGUGUUAAUCCUGUUGAUAAUUUGCAAUGCCAGAAUCCUUUGAGUUUGUGGUCUAGUUUGGUUUGCAUCCUCGCUAUGUUGUGCCUGGCCUGGAGCCUCCCUAAGAUCUGCCUGCUAUUUGUUUGGUUGGAACCCCUAAAAAUAUAGAGCUAACCUGGCCUGGAUAGCUCAGGCAAAUAGUUAGUCUGUUAGGCGUCAGAUUCUAAGAGUGCUACUCUGUUCCUUCUCUUCUGAUGUCAUAUGUUGCCCAGCUUCUCUUUGACGGGAAUUCCUCUCCUCAUCUGUCUUCGUUUUCCUAGCUGCUCUGCGACAUGCAUUGAUUUCCUCCUUCUGUUCAGGUAUUAACCUAUUUCGCCGUGCUAUAUAUUGGUCUCGUCUUUUCUGCUUUUUGUCCGAUGUAAUGACUGCGUUUGAAGCAAGGUGUUCAGGACCAGUCUAUGAGGUGUUGAGCCUCAACGCUAUAUAUGAAACAAUAUCAUGCUCAGCGCUGCUAGGUGUUCCUCCAAGUGAUACACGAUGAUCAUAGUAGGUGGCUUCACGAGAAUGAUUUCCUGAAGAACCAUUUGAUGGACCACUUUGGUUAUGAAUUGUAUAAAUGCUAACGGAAAAUACGUUAGUGGUCAAGGGCGAUACCACUUGGGGUUUCGACAUGCUGCACUAGCCGAAAGGCCGUGAGAUUGCCGGCUAUGGGAACCAUCAUACGGAGUUGAGUGGGCAGAUUGUCAUUAUCGUCGGAAGACGAAACACUGUUGUUAGUAGUGUCCGUUUGGCCGCGAAUGGAAAAACCAGAAAGUGGUCGGUGGGUAAUGGUGGGUUGUAGCCUCGGUGUCCUCUCAUAUUCAACAACUGAUAAGAAUUAAUGUAGGAAAAGUUGUGAAAGAACACUGUAUACCUUAUAUGCAGACAUGUGAUGGGCAUAGACAUACCUCUUUUUCCUUUAUCAUAAAGAUUCCCUCUUUCGUGUGACAUCUCUAUCUCGUAUAUGUUAUUCACUAAAACUGCAUUCAUAUGCCGAGAUACAAAAUUAAAUUAGGGGGCGUGAUGGGUUAGAUUUUAUACAAAAUUAAAUUACUGGUUUUGAUGGGCCAAUUUGUCUUCUCCAAGGCAGAAAAUUAGAGGGUGUGAUAACUCUUGGAUAGUAUAGUCCUUAUGAUACAAUGAAACAUAAAAGUUUCUCUUAAUGGCUUAUUGCACUGGUCAUAAUAAUGUAAAUGUUCAACCAAAAUAAUGGACGAAUCAGGCUGUACUCUAGUUUGCACGAAUUAAAUAUAAUGGUGGUGGCAUGCAGCAAUCAAGAGAACAAGGUCGAGCCAGGCUUAGACUUGAUGACAAGCAUAAUUAGAUUCAGAUGGUUCCUUGCAUCCUCCUUUCAAAAUUAAACCUGAAGGUAUAUUUUGUUUGAGUCUUCUUGCUUGUGCGGAUUCAAGAAUUUGAUUCUUUGUUCUAGCUUUUUUAAUUUGUGCAUUUGGAGUUCACAGGUAUCUAAGUUUUUAUGAUGUAUCUAACAAGAGUUUGACACUUUUUGCACCGGAAGUUUUUGGGCAAACAUAUUAUCCAAAUCAUAAGUAGACUACCUGAACAGAAAAUAUAGGACCAGUCUUUGUUAUUUUCUCAGAAACCUCUGAUUUGUUAUUUGAACAGGUGGUGGAUUAAUCAAACGAAAAUUAUUACGAAUGAAGAUGACAUGGGCAAACAAUAAAUGAGAACGAACGACCAGCAGGUGAAAAAUUAUGAUUUUGGCUGUUGGGCGUGAUUAGUGGAAGUAGGUUAUGCGAUUUUCCAUAUAAUAAGAAUGAACUUAAUCUUCAACAAAAAUCCCCUCUUUCUGUAAUCUUGUCAGAUCGUUCAUUCUUUUGGUGAAGUUCAUCCUCCUAUAUAUCUCUUCCCCACACUCUGAUUUCUUUCUCUGAUUUGUGAUUAGAAAAGAGGAACUUGGAAUUUUGUUGAUUACUCGCAAGCAGCACAAAAAUCACCCAGUUUCUAAUUUUCUAGCCAUAUCCAGGUACCUUGUUACAUACCUUUCUUAGCAGUUUUAUUUCAUUAGCACUGUUCUUUUCUUAGUUGAAAUACCACUGUUCUUAAUUUCUUGUAUCAUAUGUUUGUGGUCUAAUUAGAAAAAUUAUUGUUAAUUUAGAAACAUGUGCAUUGCCACGGAAAAAAUAUAUGAAGCGCUGCGUCAUAGUGGUUCUUAAGUUUUGAUCAUGUAUUUUUUUUCCUGUGAAACUGUCGGUUUUCCAUUAUAAAAGGAUUGGACAAAGGUUCAGGUAGAAAGUAUAGAUCUUUUUGGAUCAUCUAUUGACAAACACGGUGUCUUCCUCCCUGCUCCUAUUUGACAACAACUUUUAUUCCAAUAACAACCAGGUGUUUUUAGAGGGUUUAUGUUUGCUUUUGUCUCCAACCAUUGUCCUAGUUCCUUCUCAUGUAGCUUGAUCCUUUCAGUAGAGAAGGCCAAAUGAGUCUUAAAACUUCACAAAAGUUCACAUCCAUGUACCUAUACCAACCAACCUCCAUGUUUUCUGAAAAGGCAAUCUCAGGAAAUUGCUCCUUUUGAAGAAAUGAUUCAGUGUGACUUAAUUGGAAGCACUAAGAUGGCCAAACAUAUGAACCAGGUACAAUAUUCUCAGAACAACAUAAGUAGAGCCAAAUUAUUGAUAUCUUGACAGCUAACAUAAGUUCAGCUGACUCUGCUCAAAGUAUAUAUCUGUUGAAGUUUGACUAUAUUUAGAAAAUAAUGUCUACUAAACAAACCUCUGUUUAAAAAUUAAAAUUGACAAAACAAUGUGUACAUUAAGAUAUUUUUGUAAAAAGUAGUGACACUAAAGCUAUUGUGUUGCAAUAAUAGCAAUAAAAGAUGAAGACAUCUUAAUGUGUAAAGAAAUCUGAUUGAUCUCCUUGGCAUCCUCGUAUAGCAGGAACAUGUAUUAAAAUUAGAAAUCUCUAUUACCCAUCAUUCAGAAAAAGGCACAAUUACCUUUGCAAAAAGCAUAUCCCUAUGCGGAACUCUGUAGUGAGGCUUUGCCUGUUGUACGGUGCAAAUUCUGUUUUCGCACCAGCAGCUUGGAGUAUGCUGCUGAAUAUGCGAAGUCUUUCUCCGUAGUCCGUACAAUGCUUACUUCAACCACGUGCUUCAGAGUUCCG